rnacentral:rRNA from 1 species
CAAUAGCGUAUAUUAAAGUUGUUGCGGUAAAAAAGCUCGUAGUUGGAUUUCUGUUGAGAACGACCGGUCCACACAACGUGUGCGCAUCUGGUUCGGUCUCGGCAUCCUCUCGCAAGACUACUCUGCGCUUGAUUGCGUGGAUAGGAUUACGGGACUUUUACCUUGAGAAAAUUAGAGUGUUUCAGGCAGGCUUUCGCCGGAAUACAUUAGCAUGGAAUAAUGGAAAAGGACUUCAACCUCUUCUGUUGGUCUGAGAGGCUGUAGUAAUGAUUAAUAGGGAUAGUUGGGGGUGCUAGUAUUGAGCGGCCAGAGGUGAAAUUCUUGGAUUCGCUCAAGACUAACUUAUGCGAAAGCAUUCACCAAGGAUGUCUUCUUUAAUCAAGAACGAAAGUUGGGGGAUCGAAGACGAUUAGAUACCAU